rnacentral:rRNA from 1 species
UACGUAGGGUGCAAGCGUUAAUCGGAAUUAUUGGGCGUAAAGCGCGUGUAGGCGGCUCGCUAAGUCUGCUGUGAAAGUCCAGGGCUCAACCCUGGGAUGCCGGUGGAUACUGUCGAGCUCGAGUCCGGAAGAGGCGAGUGGAAUUCCUGGUGUAGCGGUGAAAUGCGCAGAUAUCAGGAGGAACACCAAUGGCGAAGGCAGCUCGCUGGGACGUGACUGACGCUGAGACGCGAAAGCGUGGGGAGCAAACAGG